UGGGGAAUAUUGCACAAUGGGCGCAAGCCUGAUGCAGCCAUGCCGCGUGUAUGAAGAAGGCCUUCGGGUUGUAAAGUACUUUCAGCGGGGAGGAAGGGAGUAAAGUUAAUAGCUUUACUCAUUGACGUUACCCGCAGAAGAAGCACCGGCUAACUCCGUGCCAGCAGCCGCGGUAAUACGGAGGGUGCAUGCGUUAAUCGGAAUUACUGGGCGUAAAGCGCACGCAGGCGGUCUGUCAAGUCGGAUGUGAAAUCCCCUGGCUCAACCUGGGAACUGCAUUCGAAACUGGCAGGCUAGAGCCAAGUAGAGGGGGGUAGAAUUCCAGGUGUAGCGGUGAAAUGCGUAGAUAGCUGGAGGAAUACCGGUGGCGAAGGCGACCCCCUGGACAAAGACUGACGCUCAGGUGCGAAAGCGUGGGGAGCAAACAGG
rnacentral:rRNA from 1 species